rnacentral:lncRNA from 1 species
CACCCGUUUUUGUGGCCUUUUUCCGCUGGACGAACUUGGCGCCCCAGCCGUCGGGCGGUUAUUUUUGGGUACGGCUUCGCCCAUGGCCUAUUUUUGGCACACGGAGGCCGCUCGCAAAGUCUAGCAGCAUUCCGAGUCCGGCGGACGAAGUGGGCCAGCAUCACUCCCCAAGGCUAUUGCCCACCCGUUUUUGUGUCCUUUUUCCGCUGGACGAACUUGGCGCUCCGGCCUUCGGGCGGUUAAUUUUGGGAGCGGCUUUGCCCGCGGCCUAUUUUUAGCACGCGGAUGCCCCUCUUAAAGUCUUGCGGCAUUCCAAGUCCGGCGGAUGAAGUUGGCCAGCAACACCCCCCAAGGCUAUAGCCCACCCGUUUUUGUGGCCUUUUUCCGCUGGACGAACUUGGCGCCCCGGCCUUCGGGCAGUUAAUUUUGGGUGCGGCUUUGCCCGCGGCCUAUUUUGAGCACGCGGAUGCCCCUCGCAAAGUCUCGCGGCAUUCCGAGUCCGGCGGACGAAGUUGGCCAGCAUCACCCCCCAAGGCUAUAGCCCACCCGUUUUUGUGGCCUUUUUCCGCUGGACAAACUUGGCGCCCCGGCCGUCGGGCGGUUAUUUUGGGGUGUGGCUUCGGCCGUGGCCUAUUUUUGGCACACGGAGGCCCCUCGUAAAGUCUCGCGGCAUUCCGAGUCCGGCGGACGAAGUUGGCCAGCCCCACCCCCCAAGGCUAUAGCCCACCCGUUUUUGUGGCCUUUUUCCGCUGGACGAACUUGGUGCCCCGGCCUUCGGGCGGUUAUUUUUGGACGCGGCUUUGCCCGCGGCACAUUUUUGGCACACGGAGGCCCCUCGCAAAGUGUCGCGGCAUUCCGAGUCCCGCGGACGAAGUUGGCCAGCCCCACCCCCCAAGGCUAUAGCCCACCCGUUUUUGUGGCCUUUUUUCCGCUGGACGAACUUGGCGCCCCGGCCUUCGGGCGGUUAAUUUUGGGCGCGGCUUUGCCCGCGGCCUAUUUUUGGCACGCGGAGGCCCCUCGCAAAGUCUCGCGGCAUUCCGAGUCCGGCGGACGAAGUGGGCCAGCAUCACCCCCCAAGGCUAUAGCCCACCCGUUUUUGUGGCCUUUUUCCGCUGGACGAACUUGGCGCCCCGGCCGUCGGGCCGUUAUUUUUGGGUGCGGCUUUUCCCGCGGCCUAUUUUUGGCACACGGAGGCCCCUCGCAAAGUCUCGUGGCAUUCCGAGUCCAGCGGACGAAGUUGGCCAGCAUCACUCCCCA